CUCCGGGUGCUCCGGCUUCCCCUACAUCAUAAAACAUAUUUAUAAUAUAGAUUCUAAAUUUGCCUAAAAAAAACAAACAAUACCUAAAAGCAGGGCAGCACAGUGGUGCAGUGGUUGGCACUGUCACCUCAGAGCAAGAAGGUCCAGGGUUCAAACCUUGGUCGUCUGCGUUUCUGUGUGGAGUUUGUAUGUUUCUCCCCGUGUCUGCGUAGGUUCUCUCCGGGUGCUCCGGCUUCCCCUACAUCAUAAAACAUAUUUAUAAUAUAGAUUCUAAAUUUGCCUAAAAAAAACAAACAGUACCUAAAAGCAGGGCAGCACGGUGGUGCAGUGGUUGGCACUGUCACCUCAGAGCAAGAAGGUCCAGGGUUCAAACCUUGGUCGUCUGCAUUUCUGUGUGGAGUUGUAUGUUUCUCUCCUGGUGCUCCGGCUUCCCCCCCACCGUCCAAAGACAUGCAGGUUAAUUGGUGACUCUAAAUUGUGCUUACAUGUGAGUGGAUGUUUGUUUCUAUGUGCCCUGUUAUGCUGUUCAAUUUUCUCCCCUCUUCUCCACCUCUCCAGGUGUUCCAUUUUCCUCCUUAUAUAAUAUGUACAUUCGAAAAUGACCUAAAAAAAUAAAAAAUAAAAUAAAAAAAUUUGA